rnacentral:rRNA from 1 species
CCUACGGGGGGCAGCAGUGAGGAAUAUUGGUCAAUGGACGAGAGUCUGAACCAGCCAAGUAGCGUGAAGGAUGACUGCCCUAUGGGUUGUAAACUUCUUUUAUAAAGGAAUAAAACGAGGCACGUGUGCCUUUUUGCAUGUACUUUAUGAAUAAGGAUCGGCUAACUCCGUGCCAGCAGCCGCGGUAAUACGGAGGAUCCGAGCGUUAUCCGGAUUUAUUGGGUUUAAAGGGAGCGUAGAUGGGUUGUUAAGUCAGUUGUGAAAGUUUGCGACUCAACCGUAAAAUUGCAAUUGAUACUGGCAGUCGUGAGUACAGUUGAGGUAGGCGGAAUUCGUGGUGUAGCGGUGAAAUGCUUAGAUAUCACGAAGAACCCCGAUUGUGAAGGCAGCUUACUAAACUGUGACUGACAUUGAUGCUCGAAAGUGUGGGUAUCAAACAGGAUUAGAUACCCUAGUAGUC